AAAAUACCCAGAGAUUAGAUUUGGUUUCUAACCAUGAGUUGGUUGAGGUGUUUCUACGGAGUACGUCAGCUGCUGUUUCUAUUUUUCGAGAAAGUAAUCUGGAGCACAUAAAGAGUGCAUUUACGUGGACGACGACCCACUCACAAGGAUAGUAAAAUGGAUAAAUAUUAAUCUUUCAAAAAAUUAAUUUAUUCCUCUCCUCCCAUUUGAGCAAAAUUGAAAUAAAACCUGUCAAUGUGCCACUUUA